UCUGCCUUUACACAUGCAGUCGAACGGUAACGCGGGGCAACCUGGCGACGAGUGGCGAACGGGUGAGAAAUGGAUCGGAACGUGCCCAAUCGUGGGGGAUAACGUAGAGAAAUUUACGCUAAUACCGCAUGAGAUCUAUGGAUGAAAGCAGGGGAUCGCAAGACCUUGCGCGAUUGGAGCGGCUGAUGUCAGAUUAGGUAGUUGGUGGGGUAAAAGCUCACCAAGCCGACGAUCUGUAACUGGUUUGAGAGAACGACCAACCACACUGGGACUGAGACACGGCCCAAACUCCUACGGGAGGCAGCAGUGGGGAAUUUUGGACAAUGGGCGCAAGCCUGAUCCAGCAAUGCCGCGUGCAGGAAGAAGGCCUUCGGGUUGUAAACUGCUUUUGUACGGAACGAAAAGGUCCUGGCUAAUACCUGGGAUUUAUGACGGUACCGUAAGAAUAAGCACCGGCUAACUACGUGCCAGCAGCCGCGGUAAUACGUAGGGUGCGAGCGUUAAUCGGAAUUACUGGGCGUAAAGCGUGCGCAGGCGGUUAUGUAAGACAGUUGUGAAAUCCCCGGGCUUAACCUGGGAAUUGCAUCUGUGACUGCAUAACUAGAGUGCGGCAGAGGGGGAUGGAAUUCCGCGUGUAGCAGUGAAAUGCGUAGAUAUGCGGAGGAACACCGAUGGCGAAGGCAAUCCCCUGGGCCUGCACUGACGCUCAUGCACGAAAGCGUGGGGAGCAAACAGGAUUAGAUACCCUGGUAGUCCACGCCCUAACGAUGUCAACUGGUUGUUGUGUGCAUUAGUACUCAGUAACGAAGCUAACGCGUGACGUUGACCGCCUGGGGAGCACGGCCGCAAGGUUGAAACUCAAAUGAAUUGACAG
rnacentral:rRNA from 1 species